UACCAGCACCCCCGAGUGGUCGGGACGAUUAUUGGGCCUAAAGCAUCCGUAGCCGGCCUUACAAGUCCUCCGUUAAAUCCAGCUGCUUAACAGAUGGGCUGCGGAGGAUACUAUAAGACUAGGAGGCAGGAGAGGCAAGCGGUACUCAGUGGGUAGGGGUAAAAUCCGUUGAUCCAUUGAAGACCACCAGUGGCGAAGGCGGCUUGCCCAGAAUGCGCUCGACGGUGAGGGAUGAAAGCUGGGGGAGCAAACCGG
rnacentral:rRNA from 1 species